rnacentral:tRNA from 2 species
GCGGUUAUGGCGGAAUUGGCAGACGCGCUGGAUUUAGGUUCCAGUGGGCAACCGUGCAGGUUCAAGUCCUGUUAACCGCA